rnacentral:tRNA from 1 species
AGCUCCGAGAUAUUAGAUUGCAAAUCUAAAAAAAGCUAAGUAAUUUUGGCCGGGGUUU